GAUGAAGAACGUAGCGAAAUGCGAUAAUUAAUGUGAAUUGCAGAAUUCAGUGAAUCAUCGAGUCUUUGAACGCACAUUGCGCCCCCUGGUAUUCCGGGGGGCAUGCCUGUCCGAGCGUCAUUGCUGCCCUCAAGCACGGCUUGUGUGUUGGGCUUCCGUCCCUGGUAACGGGGACGGGCCCAAAAGGCAGUGGCGGCACCAUGUCUGGUCCUCGAGCGUAUGGGGCUUUGUCACCCGCUCCCGUAGGUCCAGCUAGCAGCUAGCCUCGCAACCAAUCUUUUUAACCAGGUUGACCUCGGAUCAGGUAGGGAUACCCGCUGAACUUAAGCAUAUCAAUAAGCGGAGGA
rnacentral:misc_RNA from 1 species